rnacentral:rRNA from 1 species
AUGGUGACCGAACAAUCCCGAUACGGCUACAGGAAGUUGAUGGUAAGCUACGGCGGGAAGCUCCAGCGCUUCUCCGAAGGCGGCGGACCGCAGUACAUCGGCGGCGAGCACCAGGUCGUGAGGGUCAGCCAGUCCAUCUCGCUGCAGGAGCUCCGCGACCGGCUGGCCACGGCCGUGGGCUGUUUCAACAUCGCUAUCCAGUACGUCCGCCCCGGCGAGCCCCUGGACGCGCUCCACGAUGUGGUGACCGCCGGCGACGUCCGGGACCUGCUAGACUGGGUGCUAUACCGGGACAUCCAUAUCAAACUGCUCUGCGCAAACCCAGCGGACGUCCCCCAAGUCCGGGUCUUCGUGGUCCGCGUGGAUGGGCGGCCGCCGCUCCCCGAGGCGCUCUUCACUCCCGCUCCAAGCACGCCGGUCGCGGCGCCCACCGAGGCGCCGGUGUCUCUGUCCUCGCUCAAGCGGCGAAGUGCGUCGGCGCCUUCGCUGUCCACAAAGUUGCCGGACGGCACGUCGCAGCCCCUCUCUCCGGCCCUCAUCCAUCGGAGCGUAUCGGCGCCUUCGCUGUCACCGCCGUCGACCGGGGACGACACAACGUCUUCGACUACGACAACUGCCGGAAGCACCCGUGCGAACCAAGAUGUCGCCCCCAACGCGGCAAUGCAGAGGAGUCUGGCGCGCCCGGCUCCGGUGUUCCUGGUGCCAGUAGCGCCGGUCAUAGUGUACCAGCCGGUGAUCCCAGUGUACCAGGUGUUCGUCGUGCGUGAUUGUGCUGUUCACCGCCUCAAUCAGAUCAGGUGUCUACCAAUUAGCUAUGAUAUGAACAGUAUUACUGAAGCCGCAGUACAAGGAGCCAACGAAGCUUUGGCGUGA